AAUAAAUUUCUUACAGUUAUUUACCUCUGGUUUUGACCUGGAAAUUGGCCGUGUGUCCUAUGCAGCUUCAUGUACAGCAGUGAGAAGAGUUUGAGAAACGCUCAUCAGUGUCUGGCUCCAGAUAGAGACUGCAUUCGAUAUGCAAGAUUCAGACUGUAGGAUCCAAUUCUACAGGGGGGCGCUUCCCAUCCGUGAAACUCUGGCAUGCCCAAACUCUCGUCUCAGUUCCUUCCUCUCUCAGAAAAGCAAGGCUGCCCGUGAGGUCUCCAUGCCUUCUCCCAGCAGCAGCCCUGUCUUCUCUUUGCCAGGUGCUUCGCCCUUUGCCUGCUUCCAGCUACAGUAAGCAGUACAGGUACGAGAGAAAGACUGCAGUGUCUUUCAUCUGCCGUGGUCCUAUCUUAAACCUUAAGGCAGCCUUCUCCAGGCAAACAUAGGUAGUACAGGGCUUCCAAACAGAGAGCAGGUAAACACCUAAAAAAUGAAAAAGUAUGAUUUGGAAACAGUGCUAACUCUUCCAGUUAGCGACAUGGUGUGUAGUGUCAGCAUUCGUGCCAGUAGUAUUUAUU
rnacentral:lncRNA from 1 species